rnacentral:rRNA from 1 species
GAUGAACGCUGGCGGCGUGCUUAACACAUGCAAGUCGAACGGACUGCGGGAGCUUGCUCCCAAAGUUAGUGGCGGACGGGUGAGUAACGCGUGGGUAACCUGCCCUAUGCAGGGGGAUAACAUUUGGAAACAAAUGCUAAUACCGCAUAAACUGGGGAGUUCGCAUGAACUACCUAGCAAAGAUUUAUCGGCAUAGGAUGGACCCGCGUUAGAUUAGCUAGUUGGUGAGAUAACAGCCCACCAAGGCAACGAUCUAUAGCCGGCCUGAGAGGGUGAACGGCCACACUGGGACUGAGACACGGCCCAGACUCCUACGGGAGGCUG